rnacentral:rRNA from 1 species
CACGUAGGGAGCAAGCGUUGUCCGGAUUUAUUGGGCGUAAAGAGCUCGUAGGUGGUUCGGUAAGUCGGGUGUGAAAACUCUGGGCUCAACUCAGAGACGCCACCCGAUACUGCUGUGACUCGAGUCUGGUAGGGGAGUGUGGAAUUCCCAGUGUAGCGGUGAAAUGCGCAGAUAUUGGGAGGAACACCAGUGGCGAAGGCGGCACUCUGGGCCAGUACUGACACUGAGGAGCGAAAGCGUGGGUAGCGAACAGG